ACUGGGAGAGAGCGGGGAUGCACUGGGAUCAGCUGGGGGGCACUGGGGGAGACGGGGAAGGGCUGGUGUGGCAUUGAGAGGGACUGGGAGGGGCUAGGAAGGCACUGGGAGGGACUGGGAUGGCACUGGGAGGGACUGGGAUGGCACUGGAAGGGGCUAGGAUGGAACUGGGAGGGACUGGGAUGCUACCGGGAGGGAUUGGGAUGGCGCUGGGAUGAACUGGGAGGGACUGAGAUGUUCCUGGGAGGGACUGUGUUGACAGUAGGAAGGACUGGGAUGUCACCGGCAGGGACUGGGAUGGUACUGGGGGGGGCUAGGAUGGAACUGGGAAGGACUGAGAUGGUACUGGGAUGGACUGGGAGGAACUGGGAUGUACAAGAGGCCCCGGGGAUGGGCCCAAGGAGGGCUCAGGGCUCUGCGGUGAUUCCCGGGGAGGUUUUGAGGGGCUCCAGGGUCAUUCCCGGGGCCGGGCCCGAGGGGACUCGCUCUGCCCCACGCUCUGCCCCACGCUCACCUCUGCGCUCCACGCUGAACGGGGUGGACACCUCGUAGUUGUGCCGGCAGUACCAGUCCACUGCAGUCCGUCUCUCCUCCAUCCAUUCCGGGUUGCUGUUCCAGGCCCUGGCAACCUUCUCCCC